GACCGAGGGAGGCUCGACCACAGCACCAGUAACCUUGUCUGAUGUGAUCAUUAACCUUUCUGGAAAAUGCAGCUGGCAGUUCUCUGAGGCUCGUCAUUAGAAUGUGAGGAAAGCCACACAGAUAUUGCCCAGACUAUUCAAAGAUUGUUUGGUUUACACUGAGAGCUAUUGCUCCGCUUCCGUGCGGCAGAAAAAUGAGGUUGCAACAAUUCUUUUGUGUAUUUUUUAUUUUUGUGAUGAGUCUUCUUCUUAUCAACGGACAGAGACCAGGUAGGACUUUGGUACAUUUGUACCGAGUAACUUGUUUAUGCCUCUUUGGGUUCGUGGGUCUGAGCAUGAUUACGUCCUGUUGAAAAUCACUUAGGUGUGCUUAGAGGUAUUGGGGGUAAAUGGGUUGGUUGGCUUUCGGAAGUAUGUCAUCUAUCCUUUUAGAUCUAUUAUUUGUAUAUUUUUAAAAGUUGAUGGAUUUUAAAAUGAUAAAUAUUUUGCCACUGUUUUUCUAAAUUCAGAGAAAAUUGAUUACUGUUAUUUUAGAUAUGUUGUCCUUACAAGUAAAAAGAAAUAGAACCGUUUGUUCUACUGAUUACAGAGGUUAACAAACUUACAGAUUUUGGGGUAAAAUACAAACUCCAAAGCAGUUUAUUGGAAGAACAUAUUGCUGACUAGAGUGGGGCAUCGUUAACAACUUGAUUUAACAACAUGAACACCAUGUGACAAAAUACAGAUAAAAUCUGUAACAGGUUAUUAUAGCUUUUAUUUUUGGUUAUAUAAUUCGAUGUCUCGCUUAAAAAAUAAAAGUUUUAGUAUUAUUGUGCUUAUAGAGCCAAAAAUGUGAAAAAUAUUUAUGGUCAAGGUAAUAUUAAUUUACUUGACACAUUUUUCAAAGAUAGUAUCUGUUGUGGUUUUAACCAACAGGAAUUUAGUAAGUAGAGUUAUUCUAAUGUGCUUUUACUUCAAAACCAAAUAUCUAAGAUUUCAAAGCACUGACAUGUGUAAAAAAAAAAAAAAAAACGUUUUCUUAUUCAGGAAAGAGCAAACCCAAAUUUAAAUAGAAAGGUGGUAAUAUCCAUUCCAAAUAUGUUAGAUUGUUUGGGUGGUAAUGUACUUCUCCAUUUAGACCAGACAAUGGUGCAUAACUGGUUAAAAAUUCAGUCUCUGCCUUUUAGUUAAACAGAAGUUUGAUCACUGAGGUUAUUUCGGAUGACGUCCCCUGGUUUGCCCUUUUACAUAAAUAAGAGAAAAUUUCCAAGUCAGCAAUUCAGAAAGCAGUUGACCCCUUCUUCCAAUUUAUAGCAAUUGCUAAUCAAACUGUUCUGAACUACAGAAUACCUUGGACAAUGUUCUUGUAAAAUACCUGUGAUUAACUCAGCACGUAAGAUGAAAGAUCCAGAAGCAUUUAGGAAGAAGUCCCGUAGAAGGAGGAGGUUAUGACUGCUACAUCCUGCUAUUAACAUGAACUGUUAGGAAAAUGCUUUUGGUUUUUGCAUCACGUUAAUUUGUACGUCACAAUCACAUCGGAACAAGUAGCAAAUACUCACAAUUUAGUUUGGACCCAAAAUAUUCCCUUACAUUCUCCAGAUUAAAUAACAGUUCAUUUUCUGAAAAAUGCUCCUAAUAUUUCCUUUUUUUUUUUUCCCCUCAGCUAAUUUGGCGUUGAGAAGAAAAUUGCACAGACACAACUGCCUUCAGAGGAGAUGUAUGCCACUCCAUUCACGGGUGCCCUUCCCCUGAGGUAUUUCUGAUAGGAAAUUGUUUUACUGAAUUUAGGCAAUGUUCCAGAUGAGAUAUAUCAAAGAAAGUUUAUUUAUAUUUUGUAAUAUGUGAUAAUACUUUUAAGGUGAUAUCAGUUCGAGGGAUGCAUACUAACAAAUGAAACAGUGAAUAAUAUUGUAGGAAACUCUUGAUAAUUUUUGAUUCUGAGAGAUAGUUGUAUGGGUAUUAAUACCACUGUUUGUGUUUAACACUUUCAUAAUUAAAAAAUCACAUACCAGGAGAACAUAAUUUUGAGAGUAUCUUUAAACAUGUGUUUUGAAAAACACUGAAUAGCUCUGUAUGUUCUCCAGAACAAGCACAUUUCCCACCAAGACCACUGAAUCCUUGAAAGCAUUUGGACAUAUUUGUCCAAUGACACCAUGCAAAUGACAUCCUAUCCUUGAUAUUCUAAUAAUGUAUUAAAAUAGUUUAUUUUUCUUGACAAUAUAUCUUUUAAUGCAUAAAAUCAAUUUAAUAUUAAUAGCAUGGCAGUUUUCCAGCCUUACUCAUAGAAUUGGUCUUGAUAGUUGUUGCAUCUUUAAGGGUAAAUUCUGAAUAGAAUUUUGCUCCUCUCCCCUCUUUUUUUUUCCACAUUCACUGAAAGGCCAGUGAUAUUCUACCACCACCACCAUUAACACUGCUUGAAUCAAUUAACUUCAAACACUGCCCAAGUUUGUAUUUCUUCAUACUAAAAAAUAAAUGACUUGGCGUUGUAAUUAUUUUAAGCUCUUUAAUUCUUGUAAAACAUCUCAUCCUUGAAAAAAAUGCUGUAGAAAUAUCCCUCAGCUGGUUAACAUACACAGGCAAUUGUUAAAUUAGCUUAUUCAGUUGGUCUGUAGACUGUAGUGUUUAUGGCACUAUUCAUUCAUUCAGAGGAAAGAAUGGUUGUCAUGCCUAUUGUUUAAUACAUGCGUUUCAGACCUGGUGAACGUCCUGUAGUAACACAGUAAAUGAAGGAAGAGCAAUUCAGUAAUCACUUGUCAAGCAGACUAAGACAAAAAGCCAAAUUCUCUACACCUGUAUCUGUAACAAAUGAACCUUUGCUAUCAAAAUAUGAAAAAUAGCUUUGGUGGAGACAUCCGGAAAGAUACAGUAAGAAAUUCCUGAGAAGCCAAUUAAUAGGGACUAAAACAUGCUUUAAAAGGAUUUUCUAUGCUAACAAAUCCUUUGGCGUGUGUCACUAAUGCAUUUCAGUCUCAUAUACAAAUAGUGGUAAAAUCUGUGCUUAGGAGGAGUGGAGAAGUUCAAGACUUUCCCAGCACUCCCCCACAAAUAACAAAGAGGAGAGGAGGAGGUUCACAGUAGCAAGAGAAUUCCUGCAUAUAUAGGGAAAGAUACCUUGCAUAACACAAAUAAAAGCCCUCAGUUAGCCACAGGUUGUAUCAGCUUUCUCCACAAACCACCUGCCAUAAAAGCUAGGGUUGCAAGUACACAAGAUAGAGUAAUGAAAUUUGAAUUCUCAAAGUUAAGGAAAAUUUUGAUCUAUAAACCAAAUAUUUGAAUUCUCAAAGUUAAGGAAAAUUUUGAUCUAUAAACCAAAUUUAUAAACCAAAGGGAAAUUUAAAUACAAGCCAUGUAAACCAUUUACUAACAGCAAUCCUUUACAAAAUUUGGCUGAUAGCUGUAAAGAACUGCUUAGGUUACGGCAUCCAUUUUGUCCGUGUUUAGACUAGUCCUACAUUCCAGUUACAUGUUCUUUGAAGAAUGUAUAAAACUCCCAUUUUUUAAUCCAGAGAUAGCGUAAGAGCCAAUGCAGGAUAAAUAUUAAGAUAAUUUUUCAAGAUCUUGCUUAAUGAGUACUAUAAUAAUGGGGUGCCUGGGCGGCUCAGUCGGUUGAGCGUCCGAAUUUGGCUCAGGUCAUGAUCUCAUGGUUUGUGGGUUUGAGCCCUGCGUUGGGCUCUGUGCUGACAGAUCAGAGCCUGGAGCCUGCUUCGGAUUCUGUGUCUCAUUCUCUCUCUGCCCUUCCCCAACUUGUGCCCUGUCUCUCUCUGUCUCUUAAAAAUAACUAAAAAUGUAAAAAAAAAAAACAAAAAAACUUUAAAAAAUGAGUGCUAUUAUAACAAAUGCUACCUUCAAAUAUGAAAGCAUAGUUCUCAUUGUCCUAAAGUUUUCAUAUUUUUUAGUAUGUCCUGCAACAUAACUUGAGAACCAAGUAAAUCACUAUAGACUUAAGUAGCAGAACUUUAAGGCAGAACCUCCCUUUUAUUUAUCCCCCUCUGUUUUCUGCAUGUGUUGUUUGUUUAUUAUUUCUUUAUUUACUUACUAUUUUUUAUAUUUUGUGUAAGCUCUAUGCCCAACGUGGGGCUUGAAUUCACGACCCCGAGAUCAAGAGUUGCCUGCUCUACUGACUGAGCAGCCAGGCGUCCCUGUUUUCUGUAUGUUUUAGAUAAAAAUCACACAUUUGAUUUGAUUCAGUUAGGGACAUGUAAGACUGUAAAAGGAUAGGUAAAGUAAGCAGUUAACUUUGGAAAUUUUCCAGAUUAACCUUUUAAAGUAGUUUAGACUUUUAGCUCCUAUAAUCGGAAUGCACUAUUAUUAUCUUUACUUUGUCAAUUUCACCAGCUCCUGGAGUCCUCUCAGUGAUCCUCAGUGACAUUUCAUAACUUGCACAAUUGAGUAAUUAAAUUUUUUUAAUGUUUUAUUAUUUAAUUUUUGAGAGAGAGAGACAAACAGAGCAUGAGCAGGGGAGGGACAGAGAGAGAGACACACACACACAGAAUCCGAAGCAGGUUCCAGGCUCUGAGCUGUCAGCACAGAGCCCGAUGCGGGGGUCGAACCCACAAACUGAGAUCAUGACCUGAGCCAAAGUCAGAUGCUUAACCGACUGAGUCACCUAGGCGCCCCCAAUUGAGUUAAUUAAAUAGAAAAAUCUGUGCUGUGUAAAAUUCAUUCUCUUGAGAAUUAUUUUUUCUUGCUGAAGUGUGUUGGCAUCACAUUCAGUCCUAAGUGAAUUAGAGUUGAGGAAAACAAGAGAAAGGGUGUCAGGAAAUCAACUUUGCAGGUUAAUGUGAGAGCUUUAGAGUGGAAAAUGAGGUAGGUAGGACCUUUAGAUUCUAAUGAUUUUCCUCUUCCAAGCAUAAAAUCUACAUAUAUACAUAUUCUAGCUUUUUUUUUUUUUAAAGUAAUCCCUGGGAGCCUGGUUGGCUCAGUCAGUUAAGCAACUUGGUUUCAGCUCAGGUUGUGAUCUCAUGGUUCCUGAGUUCGAGCCCCAGAUCCGCCUAUGUUCUGGCAGCAUGGAACCUGUUUGGGUUUCUCUCUUUCUCUCUCUCUCUGUUCCUCCCCCACUCACUCUGUCUCUCUCUCUCUCUCUCAAAAUAAAUAAAUAAACUUUUAAAAAAAUAAUAAUAAUCUCUAGCCCAACAUGGGGCUCAAACUCACAACCCCAAGAUCAAGAGUUAGAUGCUCCACUGAGCCAGCGAAGUGCUCCUAUCUAGCUUUUUAGUAAUAAUUGUGGCAUGUGUUCAUGGUGUAAAAUCUUUUCCUAACAGUAUGAAAGAAUGUAAAGUCAAAGGUGAGUCUCCCAGUCAUUUCCCAGAGGCAAUGGCUAUGAAAAGGUUUUGGUAAAGGUACAUUUUAAAAAUAUUUCUUUAUUUAUUUUGAGAGAGAGAAAACGCAAGCAGGGGAGGGACAGAGAGAGAGGGAGAGAGAGAAUCCCAAACAGAGAGGGAGAGAGAGAAUCUGCGCUGACAGCACAGAGCCUGACGGGGGUCUUGAUCUCAUGAACUGUGAGAUCGUGACCUGAGCCGAGAUCAACAGUCAGACACUUAACCGACUGAGCCACCCAGGCACCCUGGUAAAGGUACAUUCUAAUACAUUAUUUUAAGUUGAGACAAGCUAAUACUCUCAUAUCACUCUUGGUGACCAUUCAAAAUGUUAAGUACUUCUAGUUCUCUAUUUCCUGCCUUAUUCUUACCCCCUCAAAGUUACGGGCUUCUGACUCCUUUGACCAAAUCUCUAGCCGUGCCUGCCAACUCUUUCUGCAAUUGUCCUGUUUAUUGUCUUGGCCCUGCUCACUCCAUGCUGACUCUCGGGCUGAACUGAAAGCCAACUGUCUUCAGCACAGAAUCUCUACUUUUGUGGAGCACUUUAUCUACAAUGUUAGCAAGACUUUCUGGGAAAAGCUUCCUUUUUUUAAGUUUUCAACUUCAUUUUCUUAGUAAUGCGUACACCCAACUUGGGGCUUAAACUCACGACCCCAAGAUCAAGAGUCACUCUUCCAACUGAGCCAGCCAGGCGCCCCUGGGAAAAACUCUUCAGCUUACUCUUAGGUACCUCUGACUCCCGUUCAGCUCUAUUUAAACCUCUAGUUUCCUUGAACUUCUUAACCUUUUCCAACUGACAACAAGAGAUUUCUCUUCCCAGAGAAAAUGGAGAUCUUCAAGCUUUAAAAUCAGACUCUGCCCUCAAGCUACAAACAUUUACAUCUGCUAUACUUCUAUUUUCCCUUUGGAGUCUUUUAUUAAGAGGUUCCUCUCCUGGGUAUGCUUAAUCUCUCUACAUCUCAAGAAACUGAUCUAACCGUUACUCGCUUUCUACAGAUUGUUCAAUAUAUCAAAGCUGAUCUAUUUCACCUUUUAAAAUGAGGAAAACAGGUGCACCACUGACUCCACGGUGGUCUUUAGUGACUAGCCCAUGUUCUUCUCUACAUAGCCGAAUUUCUUAAAAAGAUGGCUGUUUCCUUUCCUCCCAUCUACUUCAAUACAGUGCUCCCACUACAUUCAGGGAAAGAUCCCCAGUGACUUUCUUUUCAAUCCAGUGAACACAUUUUGGUUCUGGUCUCAGCUAUCUUGCUAUAGGUCAAAUAGUGAAUGGAUUUUCCCUGGUUUCAAUGCUCCUUUUUGAUUACUAAUCUCUGAAACAAAUCACUAUUCCUUUCAGGACAUGUAUAGGGUGUCCAGUUGCCUACUUGGAAUCACCUUAGCUGUUCUAAGUCACUUCAAGUUCACGUCUGCAGUGCAUUUGCAAAUCUCUAGCAUGGCUUCUGCACAGCUUAUCACUGUAACUCAGUUCUCUGUUCCAAUAUCAUGGUUGUCAUCAGGAAGAACUUCCCUGAUCCUUUAUUUUAAAGAGCAAUACCAAAGUAAACUCUUACUAUAAAAAAGCAGUACCUCAUUCUACCCAAGAUACUUCUAUUUCCCUUUUCCUGGUUUGUUUCACUCUGUAACACCUAGUGCCAUCUGACAUAACAUAUAUUUACCUUGUUAUUGUUUAGUUAGUAUCUGCCUCUCUUCAUUAGAAUGUAAUUUCCAUAAAAAACAGGGACUUUGUUUUGAUCACAGCUAUAUGCCCAGUGAUUCUAAUAAGCUCCACAGAAAUAUCUGAUGAAUGAAUGCAUACUGAAAAGUAAACUCUUCAAUUCUUCCCACUCAGGUAUUUCUCCUGUGUUCUGAGAAUUUGGAGAAUUGUAGAGCUAUCAUAUAUUAGAUGUUUGUUAUGUAUCAAGCACUGUGCUAUGAAAUAUACAAUUUACUGUUGCACUGUAGAUUUUUGAGCUGGUGCCCUAUAUUCAGUUCUAUUUGGUUUCCCAGGUCAUUGCAAUUAAUGUACGAUAUACAUUUAUAGGGUCAGUCAUUUCUACCUUGUCCCAGGUCAGUCAUUUCUACCUUGAAAUAUUUUUAAAAAUCUGCUCCCUCCUUUUCAUCUCUGUUACCAUUAUCUUAGUACCUGUUACAUCUAUCCAGCAUGACUUCAACUCCUUAACUAAUCACUGCUCCAGUUCUGAUUCUGGAAAAUCCAUUUUUUCUUUUAUCACCCGAUCUUUCUAAAGUGUAAAUCCUAUCAUGUCACAUCUUGAUUAAAAUUCUUAACUAUCCCUGUAGCCUUCAGGAUGGUGAGAACUCCCAUAAUUUAACAAACAACACUUUACAAAAUAUACCUCUCCAGCAUCAUCUGUCAUCUCCUCUCUCCUUCCCUCUUCUAAAGGGGAUAAGAAAGAAUCAGGACUGGCUUGCAUGGAUUCAAGCUCUGGCCACAAGCUCGUUCAGUGGUCAUUGGUAAGUCACUUGUCCCCUCUAAGCCUCCCUCCACUUCCAGACAUUUAAGAUGGAGCUAGUAAUGGUAUUAAUUUUGCCCUACCAUACUUCGCACAUGGUAACUGCUAAAUCGACAGUAGCUAGAGUUACUAUUAUUAUUAUUUUAAUGUUUAUUUAUUUUUGAGAAAGAGAGAGAGUGCAAGGGAGGGAGGGGCAGAGAGACAGGGAGACAGAAGAUCUGAAGCAGGCUCUGUGCUAACAGAGAGCCUGAUGCAAAUCUCCAGCUCACAAACCAAACCGAGAGAUCAUGACCUGAACUGUUCAGAUGCAUAACUGACUGAGCCACCCAGGUGCCCCUAGAAUUAUUAUUAUUAACGUUACUUUAAAAUUAGUCUAUUCUUCACCUCUUGGUGAACUCUCAAGGUAUACGUCUGCCUGCAAUGGCCUUUCUUUACUCUUUUCCUCGCUAAUUUUUUUCAAGAUUUAUUUAUUUAAAUAAUCUCUACCCUCAAUGUGGGGCUCGAACUCACAGCCCUGAGAUCAAGAUUCGCAUGCCCUACUAAGCCAGCCAGGCACCCCUUUUCUUCACUAUUCAUCCUUCAAGAAACCUUUCCUGAGGGGCGCCUGGGUGGCUCAGUCGGUUGAGUGGCCGACUUCGGCUCAGGUCAUGAUCUCGGGGUCCGUCAGUUCGAGCCCCGUGUCGGGCUCUGUGCUGACAGCUCAGAGCCUGGAGCCUGUUUCGGAUUCUGUGUCUCUCUCUCUCUGACCCUCUCUUGUUCAUGCUCUGUCUCUCCCUGUCUCAAAAAUAAAUAAAAAACGUUAAAAAAAAUAAAAAAAAAAAAGAAAGAAACCUUUCCUGAGUGUAAUACAAAUUGUAUUAGAUGUCUACAUUUUGCUCUCAACCUAUUUGAGUAAUUCUGUCAAAGUACUUGACUCACUGCACCUUGUUAACUGGCAGACUCCUCCCUUCCUUCCUCCACAUGGAGUAAAUUCCCUGAAGGCAGAAUGUGGGUGUUCUGACAUUGUUAAAUUAAAAUUUGUUAAAGCGGAGCACCUAGUACAGAACAAUGAGCCAGGUAAGCCUUAGUUCAAAAGCUGACCUAAGAUAAAUUGAAAUAGAGAUGUUUAUCACUCCUGGGUCCUGGAGGAAGUACACAGCCUGCCUAGAGGGGCCACAUGGGGCGGGGCGGGGGUCAAGGGAGAAUGCAGACCUAGAGCACAUGCCUUAUUAGGGACUGUGGGUGGAGUGCUUUUGGGUUCCUGGGCUGGGGUCUCAUUGAUCAAUUCAAACCAAAAGAGCAGGGGGGGUUGGAUGGGGGAUGGGGGUGGAGGGUGGCCCCACGAGGUUCUUAUCUAAGGGGUACUUAAGAUAAUACAGGCCCUGGGAGGCAAGGGAGAUUUGAUCACAAGGGCUGUUGGGGAAGUGAUAUCAGAAGCUUGUAUUUGCUUGUGACUCUGUGGCUGCUAUCCAUAUGAGCCUGCGGGAGGGGCUUAAGUGUCCCGGCAAGGCCCCUUCAGGCCACUUAGCCACACAAAAUGGAUGCCGAGAAGCAGUAGCUGGGAGUGGCUCGGUUAACCUCUCAACAGUGGGUUGUAUUGAUCUUUGUAACAUUAGCUGAUGAAAAAGUGUCCCGAAUACAGCAGGCACUCCAUAAAUGUUGCUGAGAGAAAUGAAAUGAAACUUUUAGUUAUUAUCUUAGCAUUUAAGACUUACCUAUAAUGAGACCCAACACACAUUUUCAGGAAAUAACUGAACAGUAACUACCAGACUGAAUUCUGAUUUUCUAUCUCUGUGCUGGAAGUGUUUCUACUCCUAGGAAUUGUUUCCCUCAUCUCAUUAAGUUCAAAACCUUCCCCUCCCAAAGGGAUCUCUUCCAAAUUCCAUUUUCUUUUUUUUUUUUUUAAUUUUUUUUAACGUUUGUUUAUUUUUUGAGACAGAGAGAGACAGAGCAUGAACAAGGGAGGGUCAGAGAGAUAGGGAGACACAGAAUCCAAAACAGUCUCCAGGCUCUGAGCUGUCGGCACAGAGCCCGAUGUGGGGCUGGAACUCACAGACCGCCAGAUACGACCUGAGCCGGGGUCAAACGCUCAACCAACUGAGCCACCCAGGCGCCCCACAAAUUCCAUUUUCUUUAAAAUGAGGCCUACACCCUCAUCCACUUAGCUUAAAAUUACCUUCCACUCUCUCAACAAUUACAGCAUUUUUAUAAGUAUUAUUUUCAAAGCUAUCAUAUUCUACUGUAUUUUGCCAGAUUUUUAUCAGUAUUGGAAUGUCAGCUCCUUGAAAGGCAAGAUCUGGCCCCUAAACCUUAAAGUAUAAACCUUUAUAAUGUGUGAAUGGCCCUAAAUGUAGGGGAUUUCUGCAUGGAUGAUGACAUAUGUAGGAUCUCUUACUUGAAACUAAAUGAAAAUCUUAAAAAAAUUUUUUUAAACCUAAAUGAAAUAUAGAAAAUUACUGUUUUCUCAGUUAAUUAUAGUCCAUUGUCCAGAAACCAUGCUCUGAGAAAAUCCCUAAUGUUGCUUAGUGAUAAAAUAAAACUUUUCUGUAAAAAUCAUGCCUUAAUGAUAAUAUAUUAAAAAAAAUAAUACAUAUUGAACAUAUAAAUCUAGAAACUGUAGUUAUGUUAUAGAUGAUGUAUUAUAAUAAAUAUUCCCCUACCAAAAUGUGUAUAUGGUAGACUAAAGCCUAAUUUCAGAGUUUUUUUUUCACUUUGGGAACCGAUUUAUUGUUACAAAGUGUAUAAUAAUUAUUUCUGCAGAUAUGUACUUAAAGUACUCUAUCAUGUUCAGACAUCUAAAAUAUCUUUGUAACACAUCUUUUGCCUUAAUUUGUUCUCAGAGAUGUAUUCAAUUAGUGAUCUACUGAUAUCUGGUGAACUUUAUUAUUACAUACCAGUAACAUUUGAAAAAUAUUAUUCUUCGAUAACAGCAAGUGAGUAUUUGUUGCUAUUUGGGUGACGAGAAGAACAAAAUCACUUACUGUUAACUAUUGCAAUACAUUUCACCCUUGGAUGUAUUUUUUUUUUUUUACUUUUACUUUUUUUUAUAGUGGUGUAUUGAGGCGCCUGGAUGGCUCAGUUGGUUAAGUGUCCGACUCUUGAUUUUGGCUCAGGUCAUGAUCUCACGGUUUGUGAGUUCAAGCCAUUUGAGCCCAGUUGCUACAGAGGUUAUGGUUUGACUUCCUGCUUUGGUUGCUGUAGAGUUUGUGGUUCAGAGUUCUAUUUUAACAUAUGGCCAUUGUCCAUUUGUGUGUUCAGUCUCUCAGUUCCAAAGUUAUUUCAUCUCCAGUUCACACCACCCAAGUGUAUUACUGUCUGCCUUGCACCAGCCUCCUCAUAUCUACUUUUGCUUCUCUUUUAUCCAUUCUUCAUAUUAUCGCUUCAUACCACUCAAGAUCCUUUAGCAAUUUUUUUAAAUAAUAUUUUUUAAUAUUUAUUUGAGAGAGAGAGCAGGUAGGGGUGGGGCAAAGAGAGAGGGAGAAAGAAUCUUAAGCAGGCUGCAAGCUCGCCACCCCAUAAAAAUGGACUCAUACAUCUUAGCAGGUACUCCCCAUUUCUCCCCAGCUUUCUAAUCCCACACAGCUACUAACCUAUUUUUUCUUCUUUUUUUUUUAAUUUUUUUAACGUUUAUUUAGUUUUAAGAGACAGAGAUAGAACGUGGGGGAUGCAGGGAGAGAGGGAGACACAGAAUCUGAAGCAGGCUCCAGGCUCUGAGCUGUCAGCACAGAGCCCAACACAGAGCCCGACACGGGGCUCGAACUCACGAACUGUGAGAUCAUGACCUGAGCCAAAGUCAGAUGCUUAACCGACUGAACCACCCAGGCACCCCUAACCUACUUUCAUCUUACAGAUUUGCUUACAGAUCUGGACAUUUUAUAUACUUUUAUAUAUAUAAUUUUUUCUUUUGUGAUUGGCUUAUUUCAUUUAGCCUAAUGUUUGCAAGACCCAUCCAUAUAGUAUCAGGUAUCAGUACUCCAUUCUUUUUUAAUGAUUAAAUAAAAUUCCAUUCUAUAGAAAAAUCACAUUUUGUUUAUUUUCACUAUGUGGUUAUUAGGAAUAAUUCUGUUCUGAACAUUUGUUUAUAAUUUUUUUUAAGUUUAUUUAGUUUGAGACAGCACAAGCAGGGGAGAAGCAGAGAGAGGGACGGGGAGAGAGAAUCUCAAACAGGUUCUCUACUGUUAGUACAGAGCCUGCUUCAGAUCCUCUGUCUCUUUCUCUCCCCCUCCUCUGCUCACGCUCUCUCUCUCUCUCAAAAAUUAAUAAACAUUAAAAUUGUUGUUGUUGUUUGAGAGGCACCUGGGUGGCUCAGUCAGUUAAGCAUCCAACUCUUGAUUUUGACUCAGGUCAUGAUCUCAUGGUUCAUGAGUCUGAGCCCCAUGUUUGAGCCCCAUGUUGGGCUCUGCACUUUUAGUGCAGAUUGGGAUUCUCUGUCUCCCUCUUUCUCUGCCUCUCCCCUGUUCAAAACUAUAUAAAACAAGGGUGCCUGGGUGGCUCAGUGGGUUAAGUGUCCAGCUCUUGGUUUCAAAUCGGGUCAUGAUCUCACGGAUGGGGAGUUCAAGCCCCAUACGGGGCUCUGUGCUGACAGCACAGAACCUGCUUGGGAUUCUGUCUCCCUCUCUCUCUUCCCCUUCCCUGCUUGCUCUCUAUCUCAUUCUUUCAAAAAUAAAUAAAUAAAUAAGCAUUUAAAAAUAAAUAAAACAUUAAAAAAAUUUUGUUCAAACAUAUGCUUUCAAUUCUCUAGAGUAUAUACUUAAGAGUGAAAUUGCUGGUUAUAUGGUUAUUCUAUGUUUAACUUAUUGAAGAACUGCCAAACUGUUUUCCAUAGUGGCUGCAGCAUUUUGCAUUUUACAUUCCUACCAGGAGUAUAUAAGUGUUCCAAUUGCUCUGCAUCCUCACCAACACUUUUUAUUAUAACCUUCCUAGAGGUUGGUACGGUAGUCCCCCCUCGUCCACGAUUUUGUUGCCCGUGGUUUCAGUUACUUGUAGUCAGCUGUGUUUCAGAAGCAGAUGAUCCUCCUUCUGACCUAUCUUCAGGUCAACAGUUGCGUAACACGAUAUCCUAAUGCCUACAUCAUUCACCACACUUCAUCUCAUCACGUAGACAUUUUAUCAUCCCACGUUGCCACAAGAAAGGGUGAGUAUAGUAUAAUUAGAUAUUUUGAGAGAAAGAGAGACCACAUUCACAUAACUUUUAUUACAGCUGAUUAUUAUAAUUGUUCUAUUUUGUUACUAGUUCUUGUUAAUCUCUUACUGUGCCUAAUUUAUAAACUAAAUUUUAUCACAGAUAUGUGUGAAUAGGAAAAAACAUCGUAUAUACAGGAUUUGGUGCUAUCCAUGGUUUCGGGUAUUCACUGGGGGGUCUUGGAAUGUAUCCUUUGGGAUAAGAGGAGAGUACUGUAUCUAUCUCAUGGUGAUUUUGAUUUGCAUUUCCCUAAUGACUAAUGAUGUUGAGAAUCUUUUCAUGUGCUUACUGGCCACUUGUCUAUCUUUGGAGAAACGUCUCUUUAAAUCCAUUGCCCGUUUUUCAAUUGGCUUGUAUUUUUUAUUGUUGAGUUGUAGGAAUCCUUUAUAUUUUGAAUACAAGGCCCAUAUUAGAGAUGUGAUUUGCAAUUAUUUUCUUCCAUUCUAUGGGUUGUCUUUUCACUUUCUGGGUGUUCUCCUUGAACACAAAAAUUGUUAGUUUUGUUACAAUCCAGUUUGUCUAUUUUUCCUUUGGUUGCUUGUACUUUAGGCAUCAAAUUGGCUAAUCCAAGGUUACAAAUAUAAUUUACACAUAUAUUUUCUGUAAAAGUUAUCUAGUUUUACACUUACAUUUAUGGCUCUGAUCCCUUUAUUUUUUUUUUAAUUCUUAUUUUUAUUUAUUUAAGUAAACUCUACCCCAAUGUGGGGCUCAAACUCACUGUUCCAAGAUCAAGAGUUGCAUGCUUUAUGGACUGGCCCAGCCCUGUGUCUCUUAUGGUGCAUUUUGAGUUAAAUUUUAUUCAUAGUGUGAGGACAGGAGUUCCAGCCUCCUUUUUGUGUAGCUAUCCAAAUCUAGCACCAUUUGUUGAAAACACUGUUCUUUUCCCCUAUUUAAUUAUGUGGGCACUGUUGUUGAAAAUUAAUUGUCCAUAAAUGCCAAGGUUUAUUUUUGGACUCUGAGUUCUAUUUCAUUGAUCUAAAUGCCAUUUUUUGUGCUAAUACUGUACUGUCCUGAUUAUUGUAGUAUUAUGGCAAGUUUUUAAAAGGCAUGUGUGAGCCCUCCAAAUUUGUAGUUCUUUAAGAUUUUUGGUCAUGCUGAUUCCCUUGAAUUUCUAUAUGAAUUUUAAGAUCUGCUUGUCAAUUUCUGCAAAGAGCUAGCUGGAAUUUGGAAUUUGCAUAGGGACUGUGUUGAAUCUGUUAAUCAAUAUGGGAAAUACUGCCAUUUGACAAUGAAGUUUUCCAAUGCAAGAACAUGGGGCGUAUUUCCAUUUAGUCAGGUUUUUUUCAGCAAUGUUUUGUAGUUUUUAGAAUAUAGUUUUACACUUACUUAGUUUAAUUUAUUCCUAAGUGUUUUAUUCUUUUGAUGCUAUUGUGAAUGGAAUUUUAAUUUUAUUUUUGAAUUGUUCAUUGCUAAUGUAUAGAAAUACAAUUUAAUUUUUGUGUAUUGAUCCUAUCUCUUGUAAACUUAGUGAAAUUAUUAAUUCUCAUAGGUUUUUUUUUCAUUCAUUCUCAUAGUUUUUAGUAGACCUGCUAUGUAUAAGCUCAUGUCAUCAGCAAAUAGAUACUUUUACUUCUUUCUUUCUUUUUCGUUUUUUUUUUCUUAAGGUUUUAUUUUUAAGUAAUCUCUACACCCAACAUGUGGCUUGAACUCACAACUCCGAGAUCAAGAGUCACAGGCUCUACCAACUGAAGCCAUCCAGGCGCCCCUACUUCUUUGCUAAUCUGGAUGUCUUUUAUUUCUUUUCCUUGCCUAAUUGCCCUAAUUAGAAUCUCUAGUACAAUGUUGUAUAGAAGUGGUGAGAACAGACAUCUUUGUCUUAAUCCUGAUUAUAGAUGGAAAGCAUUCAUUCUUUUACCAUUAAGUAUGUUAACUGUGGGUCUUUGUAUCUGUCCUUUAUUAGGUUGAAGAAGUUCCCUUUUAUUCUUAGUUUGCUGAGAGUUUUUAUGGUGAAGGAGGAGUGUAUUUGUUGAGAUUAUGGUGCAUUUUUGUCCUUUAUUCUAUUGAAAUCAUGUGUCAUAUUAAAUAUUAAAUGUUUGGAAGAAAACAUAUUAAGUGUUUGGUAAAAUUCACCAGCAAAGCCAUCUGGCCUAGGGCUUUUCUUUGUGGGAAAUUUUUUAAAAAUUGCUGAUGUAAUUUUUAUUUGUUAUAAGCCUAUUCAAGUCUUUUAUUUCUGGGGUGCGUGGCUGGCCCAGUCAGUAGAGCCUGUGACUCGAUUCUGGGGUUGUAAGCUCGAGCCCCAUGUUGGGUAUAGAGCUUACUUAAAAAAAAAUUUUUUUUUUUUUUAAAUUUCUUCUUGAGCAAUUUUGGUAGCUUGUGUCUUUCUAGGAAUUUGUUCGUUUCAUCUAAAAUAUCUAAUUUUUUGGCACACAGUCGUUCAGAAUAUUUCCUUAUAAUCUUUUAAAACAUUUUCUGUAAUGUCAAUCAACAGUAAUGCUUUCUAUUUCAUUUCUGAGUUUAGGAUUUUCAGUCUUUAUUCUUGGUCAGUCUAGGUAAGGUUUAUCAAUUUUGUUGAUCUUUUCAAGGGACAAACUUUAGGUAUGUUCUUUUUCUUCUUUAUAGUUUUUCAUUUAUUUCUGCUCUCAUCCUUACUUUUUUCUUUAUUCUGCUUGCUUUACGUUUCUUUUUUUUUUUUUUUUUUUUAAAUUUUUUUUUCAACGUUUAUUUAUUUUUGGGACAGAGAGAGACAGAGCAUGAACGGGGGAGGGGCAGAGAGAGAGGGAGACACAGAAUCGGAAACAGGCUCCAGGCUCUGAGCCAUCAGCCCAGAGCCUGACGCGGGGCUCGAACUCACGGACCGCGAGAUCGUGACCUGGCUGAAGUCGGACGCUUAACCGACUGCGCCACCCAGGCGCCCCUUGCUUUACGUUUCAUUUGCUCUUUUUUCUAGUGUGUUAAGGUGAUGAGAUUUUUUUUUUUUUUUUGACAGAAAGGGAGGGCACAAGUGAGUGAGGGGCAGAAGGAGAGGGAGGGGGAGAGAGAGAGAGAAGUAGAGCUCAACCGAAGCAGGGCUUGUGUUCGCCUGAAGUGGGGCUUGAACUCACCCAAAGCGGGGCUCGUGUUCGUGUUCACCCGAUUUGGGACGCGGAACCCGAGUUCAUGAACUGUGAGAUCAUGACCUGAGCCAAAGUCAGAUGCUUAACUAACUGAGCCACCCAAGUGCUCUGUCUUCUCUUUUCAUACAGAUGUUUAGUUAUAAAUUUCCCUCUAAGCAUUACUUUAGCUACAUCCCAUGUUUUCAUGUUCAUCUCAAAGUAUUUUCUUAUUUCCUUUGUGAUUUCUUCUUUAAUGGUUGUUUAGCAAUGUGCUGUUUAUUUCCACAUAUUUGUGAAUUUUUCGUAUUUAUUUGCUAUUGAUUUCUAACUUCAUCCUGUUGCUGAAUCAUCUAUUUCUCCUUCUAAUUGUGUCAGUUUUUGCUUCAUGUAUUUUGGGGGCUCUGUUUUUUGGUGCAUGUAUCUUCAUAAUUCUUAUCUUCCUCAAUUGACCCUUUUAUCAUUAUAAAAUGUCUUUGUCUCUAACAACAUUUUUUGUCUUACAGUUUAUUUUGUCUGACAUUAGAUAUCUACUGCAGCUGUCUUAUGGUUGCUGUUUGCCGAUCUUUUUCUAUCCUUUCACUUUCAACCUAUUUGUGACUUUGAAUCUGUGUGUCUCUGACACAGAGCAUAGAGUUGGAUCAUGUUUGUUUGUUUUAAAUUCAAGUUAGUUAACAUAUACUGUAGUAUUGGUUUCAGGAAUAGAGUUUAGUCAUUCAUCACUUUACAUAUAACACCCAGGGCUCACCCAACAAACACCCUCCUUAAUGCCCAUCACCCCUCCAGCAACCCUCAGUUUGCCUCCCUCUCUGUUUUUAUCUUAUUUUUGCUUCCCUUCCCCUAUGUUUAUCUGUUUUGUUUCUGUUUGUUUGCUUGUUUUUUUAUUCAGGCUGACAAGAUCUGCCUUUUAGAUGGCUUGUUUAGUAGAUCCACAUUUUUUUUAAGUAGGCUUCAUGCCCAACAUUGGACUUGAACUCAGGACCCUGAGGUCAAGAGUUGCAUGCUUUACCGCCUGAGCCAGCCAGUUGCCCCAGAUUCACAUUUAAUGUUAUUGAUAUGAUUGGAGGUACAGUUGACACUUGAACAACACAGAGGUUAGUAGCACUGACCCCAUGGGCAGUCAAAAAUUCAUGUAUAACUUUUGACUCCCCCAAAACUUAACUAAUAGCCUACUGUUGAUGGGAAGCCUUACUGAUAACAUAAACAGAUGAUUAAUGUAUAUUUUUCAUGUUAUAUGUAUCAUCUAAUGUAUUUUUUUACAGUAAAAUGAGGUAGAGGGAAAGAUGUUACAAAGAAAAUCAUAAGGAAGACAAAAUACAUUUAUAGCACCAUAUCAAAAAAGAAUCUGUGUAUAAGUGGACCUGUGCAAUUAAAAUUUGCGUUGUUCAGGGGCGCCUGGGUGGCUCAGUUGGUUAAGCGUCCGACUUCGGCUCGGGUCACGAUCUCAUGGUCUGUGAGUUCGAGCCCCGUGUCGGGCUCUGGGCUGAUGGCUCAGAGCCUGGAGCCUGCUUCUGAUUCUGUGUCUCCCUCUCUCUCUGCCCCUCCCCCGUUCAUGCUCUGUCUCUCUCUGUCCCAAAAAUAAAUAAACGUUAAAAAAAAUUUUUUAAAAAAUCUGUGUUCAAGGAUCAACUAUAUAUCUAUUUUACUUUCUUAGUGGUUGCCCUAGGACUUAAAUAAUAUAUAUCUGAAUUUAUCAGAAUCUACUUCAGAUUAUACUAUUUUAAGUCCAGUGAGAUAUAGAAAUACCUAGAUAGCUAUAUUCUCUCUUCCCUCUUUUAAUUUCAGCAUAGUUAUACAUAUUACAUCUACAUACAUUACACAUACAACUUUGUUAAAAUUAUUACUUUCUACAAUUUUAGGCCUUUUAAGCCUGAGAGAAGAAAGGAGAGGAAAUAUCUAUUUAUAGAGUUGCUGUUAUAUUAGCCUUCUUAUUUACCAUUUCCAGUUCUUGUCAUUAGUAGAUUUUUCUGGGGUCUUAGUCUGUUCAGGCUGCUAUAACAAAAUACCAUAGACUAGGGGCUUGUAAACAACAGAAAUUUAUUUCUCACAGUCGUGGAGGCUGGUUCAUAGAUGUCCAUCUUCUCACAUAAUGUAAGGGGCUAAGGAGCCCUCUGGGUUCUACUUUAUAAGGGCACCCACUAAUCCCAAUCAUGAAGGCCCUACCCUUGUGGCUUACUCACCUCCCAAAGGCUCCACCUCCAUUACAUUGGCAGUUAGGUUUCAACAUAUGAAUUUUGGGGGACACAAACAUUCCCUUUAGAGCAGUUGAAUUAGUAUUGCCCCAUUUGCUCUAUUCCCUCAGACAAUUUCUAGAGACUUUAAAUUUCCAGAGACUUUUCUUUUUUUUUUUUUUAAUAAAAAAAAAGUUUGGGGGCGCCUGGGUGGCGCAGUCGGUUAAGCGUCCGACUUCAACCAGGUCACGAUCUCGCGGUCCGUGAGUUCGAGCCCCGCGUCGGGCUCUGGGCUGAUGGCUCAGAGCCUGGAGCCUGUUUCCGAUUCUGUGUCUCCCUCUCUCUCUGCCCCUCCCCCAUUCAUGCUCUGUCUCUCUCUGUCCCAAAAAUAAAUAAACGUUGAAAAAAAAAAUUAAAAAAAAAAGUUUGUUUAAUGUUUAUUUAUUUUUGAGAGAGAGACAGAGAGCAAGCAGGUAAGGGCAGAGAGAGAGAGAGACACACACACAGAGUCUGAAGCAGGUUCCAGGCUCUGAGCUGUCAGCACAGAGUCUGACGCGGGGCUUGAACUCACAAACCGUGAGAUCAUGACCCAAGCCAAGUCAGACGCUCAACUGACUGAGCCACCCAGGUGCCCCUAGAGACUUUUCGUUUUAAAGAAAAUUUUCACCAGCUAAGGUUGGUUCACUGGGAAGAAGAGCUCCUUAUAUUAUUGUUUAAGAACCCUCAAGGUUAUGCAUUUUUUUUCUUUUAAGUAAGCUCUACAUCCAGCGUGAGGCUUGAACUCACCACCCCCGAAAUCAGUAGUUGCUGGAUUUACUGAUUGAGCCAGCCAAGCACUUCUGAUGUAUGCAUAUUUUAAACAUGGAUACCUAGUGGUUAAUUGCUCUCCAGAAAAGCUACACCACUGGGGCACCUGGGUAGCUCAGUUGGUUCAACUCAGGUCAUGAUCUCAGUUGGUGGGUUCAAGCCCCACAUCGGGCUCUGUGCUGACAGCUCAGAGCCUGGAGCCUGUUUUGGAUUCUGUGUCUCUCUCUCUCUCUUUCUCUCACUCUCACUCUCUCUCUCAAAAAUAAAUAAACAUUAAAAAAAAUGGGGGGGGGCACCUGGGUGGCUCAGUUGGUUAAGCAUCUCACUUUGGCUCAGGUCAUGAUCUCAUGGCGUGAGUUCGAGCCCCGCAUCGGGGUCUGUGCUGACAGCUUGGAGCCUGGAGCCUGCUUCGGAAUCCGUUGUCUCCCUCUCUCUCUCUGCCCCUCUCCUGCUUGCACUCUGUCUCUGUAUCUGUCUCUCUGUCUCUCUCUCUCAAAAAUAAAUAAGCAUUAAAAAUAAUUAAAAAAAAAAGAAAAAGAAAAGCUACACCACCUUGCAUUUUCAAUAGCAGGUUGUGAGAAUGCUUAUUCCCCACACUUUUGCCAACACUGGGUGUUAUUAAUGUUUUUAAUCUUUGCUAAUCUGAUAAGCAAAAUACCCAUCUUAUUUUUAUGUUCAAAAUUUAGGCAGUCUGAGGUGAUUUCUAGAAGAGGCAUACCUGCAUCUUUUCACUGCUGAAUUAUUUUUGCCAUCCCAUCAUGACUGUCAGGAAAGGGAAAUGUUAAGUAGAUGGAAGCUUCCAAAAAUGAAGCAAAGGGCUGCCUUCACGUCUUCGGGAGGGAGACAAAACAAAUUGCUUAGGAAACCUUGAUACCAGUGAUUUGUCUUCUUGUAAAAGAUCCGUUUUCUCUUAAAAAAAAAAAAAAGUUAAUAUGUUGCUCUACCAUAUAGUUAAAACUUAUUGCUAAGUACUAAUUAUUAAAUAGUUUCACAACAUUAAAGGAUUCCUAGGGACCAUUUUAUCUGUUAAAAUACCUCAAAUUAAGAUAUUGGUUCUGGGGGCGCCUGACUGGUUCAGUUGGUGGAGCGUGUGACUCUUGGUCUUGGGGUUGUGAGUUCAAGCCCCAGGUGGGGCAUGGAGCCUACUUGAUAAAAGAUAUUGGCUCUGGUAUGUUUUUGUUGACCUGCUCCAAAUUAAACUAUCUUAGCCGGUAUAAAUAUCAGGAAUCAAAAUCCAAAAUAUUAAGGAAAAUAAACUAUCUUAGCUGGUAUAAAUAUGAGGAAUCAAAAUCCAAAAAUAUUAAGAAAAUUGAGCAAAUAGGUGAAAAAUAAUUUAGUGAAAAAAAUCUCUUUAAUAACAUGAAUUCAGGCCUUUGAAGAAAUAUGGGUGCUAUUUUCAUAUUGAAAGGUAAGAAAAUACAAAGUUGCUUUCAGCACUGAAAAGCCUUGUUAAGUUUUUAAAACUCAUUAUCUAUUAAAAAAAUUAAGCAUGGGUAAAUUAGUCUGCUGGAUAGCAUUUCUUUUUAUAAUGUGUUUCUUUCUUGUUUGUCUCCCCGAUAUAGAUCUUAAGCUAACUUCACCUGGUCUGCCAGAAGAGGAGUGGAUAAAACAUACCCACCCACACCAUAGUGUGAUUGCUUAGAAGUUCCUGUACAAAAAGGAAUCAUUUGAAAGCACCUGCGAUGGUUUCUUAGUUUUACAGGAUUCUCUUUUUCCUGGUUUCUCUUUAGAGGGGAAAAUAACAUAAAUUCAAAAACAAUUCCAAUCCGAAGCACAGUUAUUUGCUUAUGUAACAAAAUCUCUCAUCUUUUUCUGUAUAUUACUAUUCUUAGGUGAGUGAAAAAGAAAUAUACUUUUUAAUGUCUUAGAACUCUGUAAUAAUCAAAAGUACAAGAAUUAAAAUUUUUCUUUCAUAUUCCUAUAAUUCUCCAAAAUUAAAAUAAGUGUUUAUGUGUUUGAGUGAUUUUUUCCAAAAAUGCCAAAUCUGAAAUAAAAUGCAUUGGUCAUUUGGCUUUACAGAAUAGGGAUAAAUUAAUUGGUUCAUUGAUUCUUUAUAGAGAGAGACUAAGAAAUAAGCUACCGACUGCUACCAAUUUUAAGUUAUAGGCUUUAAUGCUUAUGAAAGUAUUUUUUAUUUUAAAUAAUAUUCAUAAAGUCGUAAAGAAAGUUUCAAAAACUAACUGAAAUGAUCAUUUCUGAAUCUAUUUCUCAUUAUGUAAUUAUAAGAAGCCAAUGUUUGAUUUCCUUUGAAGUUCUGUUAGAUCUUUCCAAGUUGUUAGAUACACUCUUAAUUUGUAUUCAUUGAAAAGAUCACUCAAUGCCAUAAUGUUUUUAUUUUAUUGUAAGUUAAUUCCAGGUAUGAAAUUUACAAAUUCUUUUCUUGAUUAGAAAUUUUGCUUUGUAAACAUUAUAGAGUAGGAGAAGCCAUAAGCCAUUAACCCUUAUUUUGCUAAAAUAAAUUUGGGAUUGGUAUACUCUAAAGAAUUUGAGACAGAAAUUCUGAAAUCACAGUUUAUCUCCCUUUCACAGUUUAUUAAUGGCAUCUUUUGGGAUGAAAAGUGUUUAUAGAAAGAAUUGUAAUUAACUUUAAACACUAAAGAUGUUUUAUGAAAUCUGUUACCUCAUUUAAAUUGGAUAUUUUGGGGAAAUUCUUUUUUAAAAAAAUUUCUUUUGGUGGAGCCUGGGUGGCUCAGUCAGUUAAGGGUCCAACUUCAGCUCAGGUCAUAAUCUUGCUGUCUGUGAGUUUCAGCCCUGCGUGGGACUUUGUACUGACAACUCAGAGCCUAGAGCCUGCUUCAGAUUCUGUGUCUCCCUCUCGUUCUGUUCCUCCCUUGCUCACGCUCUGUUUCUCUCUCUCUCAAAAAUAAAUAAACAUUAAAAAUUUUUUUUAAAUAAAUACAAAAUUUUUUUAAAAUUAUUUUUAAUUAAUUAAUCUCUACCCCCAACGUGGGGCUGGAACUCACAACCUAAAGAUCAAGAGUCACAUGUUCCACCAACUUAGCCAGCCAAGCGCCCCUAAUUUUGGGGAAAUUAUAAAUGCUUUUCUGGAUAAAUCGUAAUUUCUUUACACAAGUGCAUUUUGAUAGAACAUAAGCUAUUAUCAGUUAUAUUUAUUUUUAAAACAUAUACUUGUUCAUAUACUUUGUGCAAAAAAAGAAAAGCAAUACUUUAUACAGUUAAAAUACGUCUCAUUGAAUACAAGCCAAUACUAUUUCAAGUACAGACUGACAUUCACAAAGUUAAAAACCAACCAUACCAUUGUAAUGUAAUUAAAUGGUUGUAGAUAACUGCUCAUACAACUGCAGCGAGUUUUCAAUAAAACAAUCGAGUGUCUACUUGUCCUUAUUCUGUAUAAGAAAUGUUCAAAGUGUUGAGCACAGCAUGGUAGAAAUCGUUCUGAUACUUUUCUUUAUUUCCAUUGUUUGUUCCUUGAUAUAUACCUUGCCACUACAGUUUUUUACUUAAUUCAGGAUUAUCAAAGUAAGGGCAAAAUUUCUCUCAACAUCUACAAAAACCCAGCAAUAAAAUCUGAAAAAAAAUCAGGUAUGCUGAAAGUGGCAUACAAGAACGAAUCCAUGACAAUGGAACCAAAUUUAUUCACCGGUGACAUGGAAGGGGAAACAGGAAUGUCAAAGAUGUAUACCUGUUUUGUUGUUUCUAGAGAAAGUGAGAGGGAGUGUGCACGUGGUUAUGAGUGGGG
rnacentral:lncRNA from 1 species